GAUGAAGAACGUAGCGAAAUGCGAUACGUAGUGUGAAUUGCAGAAUUCAGUGAAUCAUCGAAUCUUUGAACGCACAUUGCACCUCUCGGUAUUCCGGGAGGUAUGCCUGUUCGAGCGUCAUUUGUACCCUCAAGCUCUGCUUGGUGUUGGGUGUUUGUUCCGCCUCUGUGUGUGAACUCGCCUCAAAACAAUUGGCAGCCGGCGUACUUGUUUCGGAGCGCAGCACAUUUUGCGAUCCAGAUCAACGUACAGCGGCAUCCAAGAAGCCUUAUUUAACGCUCUUGACCUGGGAUCAGGUAGGGAUACCCGCUGAACUUAAGCAUAUCAAUAAGCGGAGGA
rnacentral:misc_RNA from 1 species